rnacentral:rRNA from 1 species
UACGUAGGGUGCAAGCGUUAAUCGGAAUUACUGGGCGUAAAGCGUGCGCAGGCGGUUAUGUAAGACAGAUGUGAAAUGCCCGGGCUUAACCUGGGAACUGCAUUUGUGACUGCAUGGCUAGAGUUUGGCAGAGGGGGUAGAAUUCCACGGUGUAGCAGUGAAAUGCGUAGAUAUGUGGAGGAACACCGAUGGCGAAGGCAGCCCCCUGGGUCAAGACUGACGCUCAUGCACGAAAGCGUGGGGAGCAAACGAGG